UACGAAGGGGGCUAGCGUUGCUCGGAAUCACUGGGCGUAAAGCGCACGUAGGCGGCUUUCUAAGUCAGGGGUGAAAUCCUGGAGCUCAACUCCAGAACUGCCUUUGAUACUGGAAAGCUUGAGUUCGGGAGAGGUGAGUGGAACUGCGAGUGUAGAGGUGAAAUUCGUAGAUAUUCGCAAGAACACCAGUGGCGAAGGCGGCAUCCUGGACCAACACUGACACUGAGGAGCGAAAGCCAGGGGAGCAAACGGG
rnacentral:rRNA from 1 species